rnacentral:SRP_RNA from 1 species
UUGUGCUAGGCGGGGAGUUAGCGGUGCCCUUUUCCCGAAAUCCGCUUUAUGCGGGGCUGAAUUCCCUCUUUAGGGUUUUUAUUGAAAUUUUGUGAUCCAUUUGACCGGUCAUCACGUAACAGACGGUCACGAACCUCGUCAGGUCCGGAAGGAAGCAGCGAUAAGAGAUGCAGUCUGUGUCGUGAAUUGAUCCCGGUUAUAUGUAUGGUUUACAUUUUCAUAUUUAAAUUCAAAGGAGGGUGCACAA